UUUUUUUUUUAUAAUAAUUUUAUUUUUGUGCAUUACACAUUCGUAUUUAUACACUUAUAAAUACGAACAUACAGCUGAGAUCCUUUGAUACAGACAGGAGUUAAAACAUCCUUAUUGCAGCAAAACAGCAAGAAAUCUAUUAUCAUGAAAAUAUCUAAAAAGUCUGUCUAGCUUCAAAAACAAUAAAGUCAGUCUUUGUCUUCUCUUCUGCCUCUCAAACC